GACCUUUUGAAAAAUGACCACAAUUACUUUAACAUUACUUAACUGGUAUUGAUGCUGAGAAGGAGUAGGCCUUAAAGGAGGUGAAAUCUGAUUCAGUGCUGGUCUACUGAGAAAGAUGAACAGGCUGUUCUCAUUUAAGAACCAUGGGAGAAUGUGGUGAUUUCAACCAAAAGCUGCCAUCUGGAGUGCAACCAUGUUUUUGCUGAAGACUCAAUCCUGCUAGGUGCUGAGCAUGUUUUCAUCUUGCCUGGGAGAUGAGGGUGCUCAGAUCCUUGCAACAGGCACUUAAUAUGCACCUUGGAAGAACAGGUCUUUAGCCGGCAAUAUAAGAAAAUGGAGUCUACACAGAGAGAGUGAGCAGCGGUGAUGGAUUUUUCUGAACCAGAGAGCCAUUGAGAGCUAUUCUCUUCUAAAGCAGGAAUGCAGGUUAGGAGGGAGAAAUACCCCGAAGGCAAACAGACAAGGUUUUUCUAACAAAGGAUUGUUAGGAGGAGUUUUCAGCUAGGCUGGCUGAAGGGAAUAAGGGUUUUCUAGCAAGGCUUGUUAGAAGAGACCCCUACUGAGAGAAAACCUAUGACAUAAUAACACAAGCUUGUGAAAUUUUGGGCCAGUUGGUGGCAAUGCUGUGCUUUAUCAUGAGAGGAUACAGAAUUACCUUGGAAUAAGGGAGAGAGACCAUGGACUUCAUCAGAUAAGAUAAGGAAGAGAUGAUACAUACAGCCCUGCGCAGAUACAAAAUCUGUAUCUGCAUCCAAUCUGCAAACAUGGUCUACAGAUAUAAAGUGGAUAGCUGCAGAUUUGCAGGGCUCUAUUGAUACUUUUGAACUGAGGAGUAUGCUGGAUAUAAAGCUCUCUCAGCACCUCAUGCCAUCUGAUUCAUGUAAUAAAU